rnacentral:rRNA from 1 species
GAGUAUCCUAAGGCCAGCGAGAGAACUGUUGUUAAGGAACUCGGCAAAAUGACCCCGUAACUUAGGGAUAAGGGGUGCCACCAUCAGGUGGCCGCAGAGAAUAGGCCCAAGCGACUGUUUACCAAAAACAUAGGUUUCUGCUAAGUCGCAAGACGAUGUAUAGGAGCUGACGCCUGCCCGGUGCUGGAAGGUUAAGGGGAUCUGUUAGAGUAAUCGAAGCAGUGAACUUAAGCCCCAGUAAACGGC